GAGAUGUUGGGUUAAGUCCCGCAACGAGCGUAACCCUUGUUUUUAGUUGCCUUUCGAGGAUAUUUAGAAAGACUGCCGAUUAUAAAUCGGAGGAAGGUAAGGACGACGUCAAGUCAUCAUGCCCCUUACGCGUAGGGCUACACACGUGCUACAAUGGCAUAUACAGAGGGAUGCGAGACAGUGAUGUGGAGCGGACCCCUUAAAGUAUGUCGUAGUCCGGAUUGGAGUCUGCAACUCGACUCCAUGAAGUCGGA
rnacentral:rRNA from 1 species